UUUUGAUGGCGACCGGCGCACGGGUGAGUAACACGUAUCCAACCUGCCGAUGACUCGGGGAUAGCCUUUCGAAAGAAAGAUUAAUACCCGGUGGCAUAGUUCUUCCGCAUGGUAGAACUAUUAAAGAAUUUCGGUCAUCGAUGGGGAUGCGUUCCAUUAGCUUGUUGGCGGGGUAACGGCCCACCAAGGCAUCGAUGGAUAGGGGUUCUGAGAGGAAGGUCCCCCACAUUGGAACUGAGACACGGUCCAAACUCCUACGGGAGGCAGCAG
rnacentral:rRNA from 1 species